AGGCCGACUGCCAGGACCGCUCGGACGAGAUCGGCUGCAUCCCCCCACAGGUCAUCACUCCCCCCGAGGAGUUCAUCCAGGCUGCCCCAGGGGACACCAUUCGCUUCACCUGUGUGGCCGUGGGCGUGCCGACCCCCCUCAUCUCCUGGAGGCUCAACUGGGGCCAUAUCCCCACCAGCCGCAGGGUGAGCUUCACCAGCGAGAACGGCCGGGGGACGCUGGUCAUCCAGGAUGUCAAGGAGGCCGACCAAGGGGCUUACACCUGCGAGGCCAUCAA